rnacentral:rRNA from 1 species
AUUGAACGCUGGCGACAGGCCUAACACAUGCAAGUCGAGCGAGCGGCGGACGGGUGAGUAAUGUAUGGGGACUGCCCGAUAGAGGGGGAUAACUACUGGAAACGGUAGCUAAUACCACAUACUAUCGGAUAACCCAUAUGGGAUUAGCUAGUAGGUGAGGUAAUGGCUCACCUAGGCGACGAUCCCUAGCUGGUCGGAGAGAGUGAUCAGCCACACGGUGACUAGGACACGGCCAAGACUCCUACGGAGGCCGCAGGGGAGAAUAUUGCACAAUGGGCGCAAGCCUGAAGCAGCGAUGCCGCGUGUAUGAAGAAGGCCCUAGGGUUGUAAAGUACUUUCAGUCGGGAGGCGUUACCGACAGAAGAAGCACCGGCUAACUCCGUGCCAGCAGCCGCGGUAAUAC